rnacentral:rRNA from 1 species
GGGCGUAAAGCGCCUGUAGGUUGUUUAGUAAGUCUGUUGUUAAAGACUAGGGCUUAACCCUAGAAAAGCAAUGGAAACUACUAGACUAGAGUAUGGUAGGGGUAGAGGGAAUUUCUAGUGUAGCGGUGAAAUGCGUAGAUAUUAGAAAGAACACCGGUGGCGAAAGCGCUCUACUGGACCAUUACUGACACUCAGAGGCGAAAGCUAGGGUAGCAAAAGGGAUUAGAUACCCCUGUAGUCCUAGCCGUAAACGAUGGAUACUAGAUGUUGCGCUUUGUGCAGUAUCGUAGCUAACGCGUUAAGUAUCCCGCCUGGGGAGUACGCUCGCAAGGGUGAAACUCAAAGGAAUUGACGGGGGCCCGCACAAGCGGUGGAGCAUGUGGUUUAAUUCGAUGCAACGCGAAGAACCUUACCAGGGCUUGACAUACUACGAAUUUUCUUGAAAAAGAAAAGUGCCUUCGGGAAUGUAGAUACAGGUGGUGCAUGGCUGUCGUCAGCUCGUGUCGUGAGAUGUUGGGUUAAGUCCCGCAACGAGCGCAACCCUUAUUUUUAGUUACCAAUUCGUUGGGUUCUCUAGAAAGACUGCCGGUGACAAACCGGAGGAAGGUGAGGAUGACGUCAAGUCAGCAUGCCCCUUAUGUCCUGGGCUACACACGUGCUACAAUGGCUAAGACAAAGAGUUGCGAGCUCGCGAGAGUCAGCUAAUCUCAUAAACUUAGCCUAAGUUCAGAUUGUAGGCUGCAACUCGC